AGUUUGAUCCUGGCUCAGGAUGAACGCUGGCGGCGUGCCUAAUACAUGCAAGUCGAACGAAUCUCUUCGGAGAUGAGUGGCGAACGGGUGAGUAAUACAUAGGUAACCUGCCCCUGUGCGGGGGAUAACAGGAGGAAACUCCUGCUAAUACCGCAUAGCCAUGAGCACCGCAUGGAGCUCAUGCCAAAUAUCCUUUCGGGGAUAGCGCAGGGAUGGACCUAUGGCGCAUUAGCUUGUUGGCGGGGCAACGGCCCACCAAGGCAACGAUGCGUAGCCGGCCUGAGAGGGCGGACGGCCACAUUGGGACUGAGACACGGCCCAGACUCCUACGGGAGGCAGCAGUAGGGAAUUUUCGGCAAUGGGGGAAACCCUGACCGAGCAACGCCGCGUGAGCGAAGAAGGCCUUCGGGUCGUAAAGCUCUGUUGUAAAGGAAGAACGGCGCAUACAGGAAAUGGUAUGCGAGUGACGGUACUUUACCAGAAAGCCACGGCUAACUACGUGCCAGCAGCCGCGGUAAUACGUAGGUGGCGAGCGUUAUCCGGAAUCAUUGGGCGUAAAGAGGGAGCAGGCGGCCGCAAGGGUCUGUGGUGAAAGACCGAAGCUAAACUUCGGUAAGCCAUGGAAACCGGGCGGCUAGAGUGCGGAAGAGGAUCGUGGAAUUCCAUGUGUAGCGGUGAAAUGCGUAGAUAUAUGGAGGAACACCAGUGGCGAAGGCGACGGUCUGGGCCGCAACUGACGCUCAUUCCCGAAAGCGUGGGGAGCAAAUAGGAUUAGAUACCCUAGUAGUCCACGCCGUAAACGAUGGUCACUAAGUGUCGGGGGUCAAACCCCGGUGCUGCAGUCAACGCAAUAAGUGACCCGCCUGAGUAGUACGUUCGCAAGAAUGAAACUCAAAGGAAUUGACGGAAGGG
rnacentral:rRNA from 1 species